rnacentral:lncRNA from 1 species
GCCAACCGAAUCAACAAGCACUCAUUCUGCUUAUUUUCAAAUCCCUAAUCCCCUCAGCUAAAUGCCGAUUCAUCUUCACCAUGUGGGACUCUUCGAGCCUGAAGGAAUCUUAGCCCGAAAUCCCUCAUCAACUCCGAUUUCAACGAAGAAGGGAGAAGAAAUCCAUGGCUUGCUCGCACGGUAAGGUCGUUUCCUCUUCACUUUAUUUGCUUUCGAAAUAAAAAAAAUAAAAAAAAUAACACAAAACAAGAGAAUAAUCACAAAAAGAAAGCCCGGAGAUUUAGAUCGGAAAAUCAUCUUCAGAUAUUGGUUGUCUUUUUGUAUUGCCUAUUGUGCAUCCAAAAAAAUACAAUGAUCGAAUGCUUUUGCUUUAUAGCUGAAAAUGAUAGAAAAAAAAUAAAUAAAAAUACAAAAUUCUUUCUUUGCUUUCACAUUGGGUAUAUGCUGCUGUUGCUUGUUUAUUUUUUUUUGCAGGUACGGGUGCAAGGCGCUCGGGUACGGGACUGUGUUGGCGCGGGCGUGGCUGCUGGACGGUACGGAGCGCACGACGCUGGCAUCGUACGGAGGCUUGGUUGCGGCGCAACGUAGACCUUAGGGUUUCUGCCAGUUUUAGAAAUUUGGGCCUUUUGGGCCGAUGUAAUUUUGGGGUUUAAUUUGGGGUUAUUUGGGCUUUAAGGUCUUGAAUUAAUUUUGGGCUCUGGACUGUAAAAGGACAUUUAAUUAAUUAUUGGUUUUUUUGUUUCUUUAUUUUGUAUUUUGGUUCUGGCGUGGGCCCGGGCAAAUUGGCCCAUUUACAGUACUAUUUAUAGAAUAGUCCUUCAACAUUUUUAAGCUCACGAGUGGAAUAUUCCUUCAAAUAAUAUCAAUGUACCUAUAAAUAGUGCAAUAAAUUCACGUCUUAAAUAUAAGACCUGCAUCCAGUAGAUAAUAUUUACCUAUUAAGAAAAAUCACUUAAUAUAAAUUCUGCAAAAUAAACUUAAAUCAUUUAUUUGAAAUUAAUCUUAUCUUUAGGAAUGAUAAGCUUAUCUUCCUUAGUUAAAAGCUUUUUAAUGACUUUUGAAUAUGACGAUAUUCCCUCCCAUCUGGCUAAAAUAUAUGUAAACUUAAUGUCAAAUUUAUCUUCGCUUUUAGCUUUAGCUUUAUUCACGAG